UGCCUUUAUGACAGGUUAUGUGAUGG
rnacentral:piRNA from 2 species